UUUUCUUUCACUAAAAAGAUUUGAAUUGCGCCUUCUUGUCUUUCUUGAUUCCAUGUUUAAUUUAAACUAUUUGUCAUUCUUAAUAACUAGUUUAUCUACCCAGGUUUCCACAUCGCAUAUCUGCGAGACGAUGCACCUCUCCCAGGCGAGGCUUGUUUCAUGUAUCUCCAACGGACCUGCUACAAUGCUGCCAACAGGAGACGUUUGUGUGAGGCAGAGAAAAGUCGAGGAACCCCAUUCUCAAGCGGGAGCGCAGCUGACAUCAUUUGCAGUCAGCGCUGAGGGUUUUGAGCCGAUCCACCUCCUAGCAAGUCUUUCAGGAGCGACUGCGAUCCUCUUGGGUACCCACCAGCAUUUUACUAUAAAGCUUCUGCUGCUCUUCUUUAAAAGUAUCUUUGACCUUUUCUCGCUUUAGCCCUCCGUCCC